rnacentral:lncRNA from 10 species
AAAUGUACUACUGGUAGUCAUGUGCUCACUAUCUCUGCCUUACUCUUGAUUCCUGCCUCCAGUGAACCCAGGAUGAAGGAGUGUUUCGACUCAUCUGACUCAUUAUGCCUUCUUUGCCCUGGAUCUUACACAGAAAUGCUCUCCAUACCUUGCCACUGCUGCUGGGAAGGAACAGGGGAGGAGUGACAUUGAGAUUCAAGACUAUUUUUCCUACCUCUUCAGUGCCUCUUUCAGCCAUAUGAAGUUAAAACCAGGUCUCAUUCUGUCAUUGAGGCUGAAGUGCAGUAGCACAAUCUCAGCUCACUGCAGCCUCUACCUUCAAGGUUCAAGCAAUUCUUCCACCUCAGCUUCCUGAGUAGCUGGGACUACAGGGGAGAAGAGGAGAGUAAAAGUGAAGAAGAAAGAGGCAAAACAAGUGACUAGACCACACGCUGAACAAGUUGUAGCUCUCAUUUACUUUUCAGAGAAUGUAAAAUGUUACAACUGCUUUGGAUAACAGUUUGGCAAUUUCUUUAAAAGUUAAGCAUAUAUAUAUAUAUAUAUAUAUAUAUAUAAUCAUAUAAUCUAGCCAUUUCACACAUCAGAAUUUACCCUCAUCCCCAAAUAAAAGCACAAAGAUGUGAAUGCCCAUAGCAGCUGCAUGUGUAAUAACUCAAAACUAUAAAAAACUCAAACACUCAUCAACAGUGAAUAAUUAAACAAAUUGUUUACAUUGCAAAAACAUUAUCAGUUGAAAGGAAUGAGCUACUGGUAGCAGCAACAAGGUACACAAAUCUAGAAAUAAUUAUGCUGAGGAAGAGAAGCCAGAAAAAUAUAAUAUAUAUUAUAUUAUCUCAUAUAUAUUAAAGAAUAGAGAAUGCAAACUAAUCUAUAGUGACAGAAAACAAAUCAGUGGCAAUCUGGGAAUGAGGGUAAGGGGUAAGAGGAAGGGAUUAAAAUGGGGCAUGAGUAAAAUUUUGGAAGUGAUAAGUAUAUUUAUUAUCUUGACUGGUUAUGGUUUUACAGAUACAUACUUAACGGUGAAAACUGGCAGAUUGUACAUUUUAAUAUGCAUAGUUUAUGAAAUGUCAAUUAUAUCUCAAUAAAUAUUAAGAUUAUAUAAGAAUAAUCUAGAGAAAUAAAACAUUUUUAAAAAAAUUAUAGUAAGAGUUGUUCUCUAACCAUUGUAGUUAAUCAGUUUUACUAAAGAAUAACCACAUAUAAAACCUUGUUCCCUUAUUUACAGAAAGUUUCUCCCGUACAGUUUGUACACUGUCUAUUCAUGUGAGCUAAUGCUUUAAAAAUUAACAUAUUAAUUUUCCUAUAUUAUAUGAACCUAGUGUUUUAUCCCAAUAAAUUAAUCAUCACAUUUUCUUUAUAGGUGUUUUUUUGUGGAAAAAAUUUAAUCAACCCAUAUCAUUUUUGUGUGCGAUCUUUCCUUAGUGAACAUUAAAUCUAAUCAUUUGUUAUUUGCAUUUGAAGUAAUUAUUUUAACAUGGGCUCUUUCCUAAGCACUUUGAAAAUUAGUCCUCUAAAGCCUUUUGUUGUAUAUAACUUUCUCUCUUGUGUUUUGUAUAAUUAUUAUUAUAUAGUAGUAUAAUUUAAAGGGGAAAUGUGCAAUAAACCCAUAUGCUUUAUUAUUAAAAGUAGGUACUGUAAGUUUUACUCCUAUGCCAAUUGGAUGGAAGAUCAAGAGUUGUGAUGAUCGGGAGGCUGAGGCAGGAGAAUGGCAUGAACCAGGGGGGCAGAGCUUGCGGUGAGCCGAGAUCGCACCACUGCACUCCAGCCUGGGUGACAGAGCGAGACUGUGUCUCAAAAAAUUAAAAAAUAAUAAUAAAAUAAAAUAAUAAAAAAAGAGUUGUGAUGAUCAUUUUCAGUUUUUAGUUUAACUGAAGAUAACAGAAACAGUCCAGAAUGGUCAAACUUUGACAUUUAUUAAAA